rfam:Schistosoma rodhaini strain Burundi genome assembly, scaffold: SROB_scaffold0002243
CGCCAGUCUGACGAGUCCCAAAUAGGACGAAACGAGCGUCCUGGAU